GACAGAGGGUGCAAGCGUUGUUCGGAAUUAUUGGGCGUAAAGCGCGCGUAGGCGGCCGGGUAAGUCGAAUGUGAAAUCCCGUGGCUUAACCAUGGAAGUGCAUUCGAAACUACCUGGCUGGAGUGUCGGAGAGGGUGGUGGAAUUCCCAGUGUAGAAGUGAAAUUCGUAGAUAUUGGGAGGAACACCAGUGGCGAAGGCGACCACCUGGACGACAACUGACGCUGAGGCGCGAGAGCGUGGGGAG
rnacentral:rRNA from 1 species